CUUGKUCAUUUAGAGGAAGUWAAAGUCGUAACAAGGUUUCCGUAGGUGAAMCUGCGGAAGGGAUCAUUAAAGAAAUUUAAUUGAUUUGUCUGAGCUCGGAGAGAGACAUCUCUGGGGAGGACCAGUGUAGACACUCAGGAGGUUCCUAAAAUAUUUUCUCUGCUGUGAAUGCCAUUUCUCCUGCCUGCGCUUAAGUGCGCGGUUGGUGGGUGUUCUGCAGUGGGGGGAGGGAGCCGACAAAGACCUGGGAGUGUGCGUGGAUCUCUCUAUUCCAAAGGAGGUGUUUUAUCACACGACUCGACACUUUCUAAUUACUACACACAGUGGAGUUUACUUUACUACUAUUCUUUUGUUCGUUGGGGGAAAGCUCUCUUUCGGGAGGGAGUUCUCCCAGUGGAUGCAAACACAAACAAAUAUUUUUUUAAACUAAUUCAGUCAACACAAGAUUUCUUUUAGUAGAAAACAACUUCAAAACUUUCAACAAUGGAUCUCUUGGUUCUCGCAUCGAUGAAGAACGCAGCGAAAUGCGAUACGUAAUGUGAAUUGCAGAAUUCCGUGAAUCAUCGAAUCUUUGAACGCACAUUGCGCCCUCUGGUAUUCCGGGGGGCAUGCCUGUUUGAGCGUCAUUUCUCCCUCAAACCCCCGGGUUUGGUGUUGAGCAAUACGCUAGGUUUGUUUGAAAGWAUUUACGUGGAAWCUUAUUUUAAGCGACUUAKGUUUAUCCMAAAACGCUUAUUUUGCUAGUGGCCACCACGAUUUUAUUUCAUAACUUUGACCUCAAAUCAGGUAGGACUACCCCGCUGARCUUAAGCAUAUCAAUAAGCGGAGGA
rnacentral:rRNA from 1 species